rnacentral:rRNA from 1 species
UACGGAGGGGGCUAGCGUUGUUCGGAAUUACUGGGCGUAAAGCGUGUGUAGGCGGCCUCGUAGGUCGGAUGUGAAAGCUCUCGGCUCAACCGGGAAAGUGCAUUCGAAACCACGAGGCUUGAGUGUAGGAGAGGAAGGCGGAAUUGUCGGUGUAGAGGUGAAAUUCGUAGAUAUCGACAGGAACACCUGCGGCGAAAGCGGCCUUCUGGACGAACACUGACGCUGAGACACGAAAGCGUGGGGAGCAAACAGG